UACAGGAGGGUGCAAGCGUUAAUCGGAAUUACUGGGCGUAAAGCGUGCGUAGACGGUUAUGUAAGUCAGGUGUGAAAGCCCCGGGCUCAACCUGGGAAUUGCAUUUGAGACUGCAUAGCUAGGGUGCGGAAGAGGGAAGCGGAAUUCCGGUGUAGCGGUGAAUGCGUAGAUAUACGGAAGGAACACCAGUGGCGAAAGCGACUUCCUGGACCAAUACUGACGCUCAUGUGGCGAAAGCGUGGGGAGCAAACAGGG
rnacentral:rRNA from 1 species